CCGAAAGAGGCCUCCAUCGGUCUUUCAACCUUGCCUAUCGUACCUUUUUGUUGUUCCCUCGGCGGGGUAAAGCCCGCCGCGGGAAGCUCGGAAAACCCUUUGCAAUCAGCAUCCAAAAACUCUGAUUACAAAACCGUUAAAUCGUUAC
rnacentral:misc_RNA from 1 species